rnacentral:rRNA from 1 species
ACGUGGGUAACCUGCCUGUAAGACUGGGAUAACUCCGGGAAACCGGGGCUAAUACCGGAUCUUGAUUGAACCGCAUGGUUCAAUUAUAAAAGGUGGCUUUACCUACCACUUACAGAUGGACCCGCGGCGCAUUAGCUAGUUGGUGAGGUAACGGCUCACCAAGGCAACGAUGCGUAGCCGACCUGAGAGGGUGAUCGGCCACACUGGGACUGAGACACGGCCCAACUCCUACGGGAGGCACAUAGGGAAUCUUCCGCAAUGGACAAAGUCUGACGGACACGCCCGUGAUGAUGAAGGUUUUCGGAUCGUAAAACUCUGUUGUUAGGGAARAACAAUACCGUUCGAAUAGGGCGGUACCUUGACGGUACCUAACCAAAGCCACGGCUAACUACUGCCACAGCCGCGGUAAUACUAGGUGGCAAGCGUUGUCCGGAAUUAUUGGGCGUAAAGCGCGCGCAGGCGGUUUCUUAAGUCUGAUGUGAAAGCCCCCGGCUCAMCCGGGAGGGUCAUUGAAACUGGGGAACUUGAGUGCAGAAAGGAAGUGAAUUCCACGUGUACGGUGAAAUGCCGUAAGAUGUGGAAGGAAACACCAGUGGCCGAAGGCGACUCUCUGGUCUGUAACUUGACGCUGAAGGCCGCGAAAGCCGUGGGGAGCGAACAGGAUUAGAAUACCCUGGUAGUCCACCGCCGUAAAACGAUGAGUGCUAAGUUGUAGAGGGUUUCCGCCCUUUAGGUGCUGCAGCAAACGCAUAAGCG